rnacentral:rRNA from 1 species
UACGAAGGGGGCUAGCGUUGCUCGGAAUGACUGGGCGUAAAGGGCGCGUAGGCGGCGGACACAGUCAGAUGUGAAAUUCCCGGGCUCAACCUGGGGGCUGCAUUUGAUACGUGUUUGCUUGAGUGGGGAAGAGGGUCGUGGAAUUCCCAGUGUAGAGGUGAAAUUCGUAGAUAUUCGGAAGAACACCAGUGGCGAAGGCGACUCACUGGACACAUAUUGACGCUGAGGUGCGAAAGCGUGGGGAGCAAACAGG